UCCGAGUUGACCCCGGCAGUCUCGCAUGAGUCCCCGCCACCCCGAAGGGCGCGCUGGCAACAUGCGACAAGGGUUGCGCUCGUUGCGGGACUUAACCCAACAUCUCACGGCACGAGCUGACGACAGCCAUGCAGCACCUGUGCUGGCUGCCCUUGCGGGCUCAUUACCGUUUCCGGUUCUUAACACCAGCAUGUCAAACCUGGGUAAGGUUCUUCGCGUUGCGUCGAAUUAAACCACAUGCACCACCGCUUGUGCGGGCCCCCGUCAAUUCCUUUGAGUUUCAACCUUGCGGCCGUACUCCCCAGGCGGGGAACUUACUCCGUUAGGUGCGGCACCGGCGGUAAACCCCCCAACGGCUAGCAUCCAUCGUUUACGGCGUGGACUAC
rnacentral:misc_RNA from 1 species